CAGCAGCAGCCGCGGGAAUACGUAGGUGGCAAGCGUUAUCCGGAAUUAUUGGGCGUAAAGGGCUCGCAGGCGGUUUCUUAAGUCUGAUGUGAAAGCCCCCGGCUCAACCGGGGAGGGUCAUUGGAAACUGGGAAACUUGAGUGCAGAAGAGGAGAGUGGAAUUCCACGUGUAGCGGUGAAAUGCGUAGAGAUGUGGAGGAACACCAGUGGCGAAGGCGACUCUCUGGUCUGUAACUGACGCUGAGGAGCGAAAGCGUGGGGAGCGAACAGGAUUAGAUACCCCUGUAGUCCCUGUCUCUUAUAC
rnacentral:rRNA from 1 species